AGGAAACAAAUAGAGCGAGAGAAGAGCUGAUCUUCCAAUCCUCCCUGUCUCUUCCUCACCUCCCUCGGAGAGAUCUCGUCUCCGGCGUCUCCCUUUCUUCGUCGGAGUUUCCUCUUCCUCCUCCUCUAUCUCCUCCACAUUUAUUAAUCCAAUCCCCCUCUAAACCUCUGAUCUCCCGUUGUUCUUUCCAUUUCUUGUUUCCAUCCUCGCAUCUACCGGACUUCGGUCCGCCUCAGAGAUCUACACUUUUCCAAUCACUUCGAGAUUCGAUCCCAUUCCUGGCCCCCCGAGUAUUGAUGCUUUCUUAGCCGCUUUUGACACUAAAGAUCCAAUCUUUUCUACCAAGAUGGGCCGACGAGGGAUGCAGAAUUCCACCAUCGAGGAUGCAUCUCCAGGCGCCGGGGAUCUCGCCUGCGUUAUAUGCUCGGAGGUGAGCGCAGUUCUCGCCGUGAUGCGCAGAAACGUGCGGUGGGGCAGCCAGUAUGAGUCCUCCGACGACGACGCCGCAAUGGAGCACUCCCUCAUACGGUCUCUCAAGUCACUCCGCCGGCAGGUUUUUUAUUGGGGGGACGCUCUCAGCCCUUGGAGUUCCAUCGAACCCUCCCUCUAUCUCCGACCGUUUCUCGAUGUGGUCUGCUUCGACGAGACCAGUGCUCCUAUUACUGGCGUCGCGCUGUCCUCGAUAUACAAAAUCCUUAUGCUGGACACACUGGAUCCUGGGGCUGGCACCGGAGUGGAUGCUGCUAUGCAUUUGGUGAUCGAGGCUGUCACCAGCUGCCGGUUUGAGGUGACGGACCCCGCGUCGGAGGAGGCUGUGCUGAUGAAGAUCCUCCAGGUUCUGCUCGCAAUAAUGCGGAGCCGAGGGUCCUCUGUGCUCAGUGAUCAGCAUGUCUGCACGGUUGUCAACACGUGCUUCCGUGUUGUCCACCAGGCGGGCACCAAAGGGGAGUUGCUGCAGAGGUUCUCACGUCAGACCAUGCAUGAGCUCAUCCGAUGCAUCUUCUCGCGCUUGCCUGAUCUCAAGGCUGGUGCUGAAUCUCUUUCUGCCAAGCCAGAGAUGGGUGCCAUUGACAAAGAUCAAGCUUUUCAGAUCAACGAAGAAGAUAAUGCAAAUUCCACUGUUGGACCUGCAAGCACAGGUGCGGAAGACAACCAUGCACCAGGGCCAGAAUCUCCAAUUGGAGAGCAAAUUAUAGUUGAACCAUAUGGAAUCCCUUGCAUGCUGGAAAUAUUCCACUUUUUGUGUUCCCUUUUGAAUGUAGACGACCAUAUUGGAAUAACUCGUGGAACAAAUCAGAUAGCAAUUUAUGAGGAUGUGCCACUUUUUGCUCUUGGAAUGAUUAAUACAGUCAUUGAAUUAGGGGGUCCAUCAAUAAGCAAGCAUCAAAUGCUACUAUCAUUGAUUCAAGAUGAGUUGUUUAGGAAUUUGAUGCAGCUUGGGUUGUCCAUGAGUCCGCUUAUUUUGUCCAUGGUUUGCAGCAUUGUUCUGAACCUCUAUAGGCAGUUGCGCACAGAACUCAAAUUGCAGGUGGAGGCAUUCUUCUCUUGUGUGAUCCUGAGGGUUGCACAAAGCCGAUAUGGGGCUACUUACCAACAGCAAGAGGUAGCCAUGGAAGCUCUUGUGGACUUCUGCAGGCAGAGAACAUUUAUGGCAGAAAUGUAUGCCAACUUUGAUUGUGACAUAUCCUCUAGCAAUAUUUUUGAAGAACUUUCUAACCUUCUAUCAAAGAGUGCAUUUCCUGUUAAUCGCCCUCUAGCUUCCACACAUCUUCUGGCGUUGGAUGGCUUAAUUGCCAUUGUUAAGGAAAUGUCCAAUAGGAUUGAAAAUGCACCUCUUCCUUCAGAAAAGACAAUGUUAGAACUUGAGGCAUUUUCUCCCUUUUGGACAGUGAAAUGUGAAGACUACUCUGAUCCAGACAAGUGGGUUAAAUUUGUCAGUCAUAUGAAGCACAUCAAAAGAAAAUUAAUGAUUGUUGCUGAUCAUUUCAAUAGAGACCCCAAGAAAGGAUUAGAGUUUCUUAAAGGAACUGGCCUCUUGCCUGAAAAUCUUGAUCCCCAUAGUGUGGCAUGCUUCUUCAGAUAUACAGCUGGAUUGGAUAAAAACCUUGUGGGGGAUUUCUUGGGAAAUCAUGAUGAAUUUUGUGUGCAGGUGCUGCAUGAGUUUGUCCGCACUUUUGAUUUCCAGAAUUUGAAUUUGGAUACUGCUCUGCGACUUUUUCUGGAUACCUUCCGGUUGCCUGGUGAAUCUCAGAAAAUUCAGAGAGUUCUUGAGGCUUUCUCAGAGAGAUACUUCGAACAAUCACCAGAGAUUCUUGUUGACAAAGAUGCUGCCCUUGUGCUGGCUUAUUCACUUAUACUGCUCAAUACAGAUCAACACAAUGUCCAGGUUAAGAAGAAGAUGACUGAAGAGGAUUUUAUCCAUAACAAUCGUCGCAUUAAUGGUGGAAAUGACCUUCCAAGGGAGUAUCUGUCCGAACUCUAUCACUCAAUAUGCAGGAAUGAGAUAAGGACAAUUCCUGAACAAGGUUCUGUUUUUUCAGAAAUUUAUCAACAUUGGAUUAAUCUUAUCGGAAAGUCCAAGAAGACGUCUCCUUAUAUCGCUUGUGAUUCCCGUCCUCUACUUGAUCAUCAAAUGUUCACAAUCAUGUCAGGCCCCACAGUUGCUGCUAUAUCAGUAGUUUUUGAUAAUGCUGAACAUGAAGAAAUUCUUUUGACAUGUAUAGAUGGCUUCUUGGCUGUGGCAAAGAUCUCAGCAGGUUACCAUCUAGAAGAUGUUUUAGAUGAUUUAGUAGUAUCGCUAUGCAAAUUCACAACACUCUUGGACUCUUCUUUUGUUGAGGAACCAGUGACCAUCUUUGCAGACGACAUGAAAGCUAGAUUAGCGCUUGAGACAGUUUUCAGCAUAGCAAAUUCAUAUGGAGACUACAUACAUAAUAGCUGGAGAAAUAUCCUUGAUUGCAUAUUGAGAUUGCACAAGUUGGGUCUUCUUCCUGCUUGUAUUACUAGUGAUGCUACUGAUGAUUCUGAAACUUCUCUAGAUUCGGUUCCCGGAAAGUUUACUUCUAGCUCACUUUCCACCUCUCAAGUUCAAAUGGUCACUCCCCGUAAGUCCUCUGGGUUAAUAGGGAGAUUUAGCCAGCUGUUAUCUUUUGAAAUUGAAGAACCAAAGUUGGAACCAGAUGAACAGCAGCUUGCUGCUCAUCAGAGAACACUGCAGAUAAUAGAGAAGUGUCACAUCAACAAUAUAUUUAUGGAAAGCAAGUUUUUACAUGCUGAUUCACUAAUGCAGAUUGCUAGGGCCCUAAUUGCAGCUGGUCAUUGUCAGAAAGUUAGAAAUUCACCUGAUGUUGAAGACACUGCAGUUUUCUGCUUGGAGUUGCUUGUUGCUAUCACACUAAACAACCGAGAUAGAAUUGGACUUCUCUGGCAAGGUAUAUAUGAGCACAUUGCCAAUAUAGUUCAGUCUACUACAAUGCCUUGUGUUCUUGUGGAAAAGGCAGUUUUUGGACUCCUAAGAAUAUGCCAGCGAUUACUACCUUACAAGGAGAACCUGAUCGAUGAGCUUUUAAGAUCACUGCAAUUGAUUUUAAAGCUUGAUGCACGUGUUGCUGAUGCUUACUGUGAGAGUAUUACUCAGGAAAUCACACAGCUUGUGAAGGCAAAUGCAACCCAUAUGAAAUCACAGGUUGGUUGGGGGACCAUAAUUUCGUUGCUCUCCAUCACAGCCCGCCAUCCAGAAGCUUCAGAAGUGGGUUUUGAGGCACUAUUGUUCAUUAUGUCUGAAGGGGCUCACAUUUCACUAGCCAACUAUAUUCUUUUGAUUGAAGCUUCACGUCAUUUUGCAGAAUCUCAUGUUGGGAUAACAGAUAGAUCAGUACGUGCUGUAGAUCUAAUGGCAGAGUCCUUCAAUUGUCUUGUUUAUUGGUCUUCUGAGAUUAGAGAUGCUGGUGAGGAAGCUGACAGAAUUUCAGAGGGAAUCAGAGAGAUGUGGAAAAGGCUUGUCCAAGCACUGAGAAAGAGCUGCCUGGAUCAGAGAGAGAAAGUAAGGAAUCAGGCUUUGUUAUCUUUGCAGAAAUGCUUGGUAGGUGCUGAAGGAAUAUGCCUCUUACCUUCAUCUUGGAUGUGGGCCUUUGAUCUAGUUAUAUUUACUAUGCUUGAUGAUUUACUGGAGAUUGUACAAAACCAUUCACCAAAAAAAUACCAAAACAUGGAGGACACCCUUGUGCAUGCCAUAAAAUUGCUAUCAAGGGUGUUUUUGCAGCUAGUUCAAGAGCUUUCUCAGCAGAGUAGUUUCUGCAAGCUGUGGUUAGGGGUUAUUGGGCGGAUGGAGAAAUACAUCAAAAUUAAGGUGCGAGGUAGGAAAAUUGAGAAACUUCAAGAACUGAUUCCUGAACUUCUGAAGAAUAUUUUGUUUGUCAUGAAAUCAAAGGGGAUCCUUUCAAAGAGGAGCACCACAGAUGUGGAUAAUUUGUGGGAGUUGACAUGGCUUCAUAUAAACAAUGUUUCUCCUCUAUUGCAAUCUGAAGUUUUCCCUGUUCAGGGAAUGGAACAAAUACAUUCAGGUGUUCAGACUGACCUGAGUAGUCCUAGGCUAGUGGCUGGGCCUUCUGUUGGUUAGUCUGGUGUCGUGAGGUCCUUCUGGUUCAUUUUCUUGAAAGAGGCAUAGAAAUUUCUCAUUAAAGGUGAACUAUUAGGAUGACCACUCCUGUGCAUUUCUCACAUCCAGUGGUCACUGCCUAAUAGACACUUAUGAAUGUGUUCUUUUGGAUCCUUAGUUGCUUCAGUCAAAUCUCAUUUUGUGGGACAAGCAUAGCUGAGCCAUAAGCUGAAUUGGUUCUCUUUGGCUACCAUGUAAAUUUAGGAGUUUGUUAAAGGUUUGGAUGAGGAAAGAAGUACUAUUGGAUUAAAGGCUAAAUUUUCCUGCCAGUGACUCCCUCCAGGUGCAAUCCUUGAACUCUUCCUGCUUUCGAAGAUUGCUGUACUCAUCUCAUGAGUCUAAGUUAUAUGGUGUUGCUAAAUGAGACCUGUGAGAAACUUUAUUCCCUUUUCCACGGUCGAGGAAUUAGAGUAAAGAUUUUGCCACUGAAUCUCAAUACAGUUGACUAUUUGUGCAGGCGAAAAUUUGUUUUGAGUAGAUUUUAAUGGUAACCUUACAACAUGAUGUAUCCUGACAAAACAUGUACUAUUACCAAUAUUUUGAUUGAAUCAACAUUUUUCUGUUUUUCUUGUCA